GCAUAUCAAUAAGCGGAGGAAAAGAAACCAACAGGGAUUGCCCUAGUAACGGCGAGUGAAGCGGCAACAGCUCAAAUUUGAAAUCUGGCCUCGGCCCGAGUUGUAAUUUGCAGAGGAUGUUUCUGGCGCGGUGCCUUCCGAGUUCCCUGGAACGGGACGCCACAGAGGGUGAGAGCCCCGUAUGGUUGGACACCAAGCCUGUGUGAAACUCCUUCGACGAGUCGAGUAGUUUGGGAAUGCUGCUCUAAAUGGGAGGUAAAUCUCUUCUAAAGCUAAAUACCGGCCAGAGACCGAUAGCGCACAAGUAGAGUGAUCGAAAGAUGAAAAGCACCUUGAAAAGGGGGUUAAACAGUACGUGAAAUUGUUGAAAGGGAAGCGCUCAUGACCAGACUUGUGCCGGGCGGUUCAUCCGGGGUUCUCCCCGGUGCACUCCGCCCGGCUCAGGCCAGCAUCGGUUCUCGUUGGGGGAUAAGAACGGUAGGAACGUGGCCCUCCCUCGGGAGGGUGUUAUAGCCUGCCGUACGAUACCCUGACGGGGACCGAGGUUCGCGCUCCGCAAGGAUGCUGGCGUAAUGGUCAUCAGCGACCCGUCUUGAAACACGGACCAAGGAGUCGUCCAUUAGAGCGAGCGUUUGGGUGUAAAACCCGCACGCGUAAUGAAAGUGAAAUUAGGUGAGAGCUUCGGCGCAUCAUCGACCGAUCCUGAUGUUCUCGGAUGGAUUUGAGUAAGAGUUUUAACGGACGGACCCGAAAGACAGUGAACUAUGCUUGUAUAGGGUGAAGCCAGAGGAAACUCUGGUGGAGGCUCGCAGCGGUUCUGACGUGCAAAUCGAUCGUCAAAUAUGAGCAUGGGGGCGAAAGACUAAUCGAACUGUCUAGUAGCUGGUUACCGCCGAA
rnacentral:rRNA from 1 species